GUGGGGAAUAUUCCGCAAUGGACGAAAGUCUGACGGAGCAACGCCGCGUGAGUGAUGAAGGUUUUCGGACUGUAAAGCUCUGUUGUUUAGGACGAAAGUGCCUGUUGCGAAUAGUUACAGGUAUUGACGGUACUGAACGAGGAAGCCACGGCUAACUACGUGCCAGCAGCCGCGGUAAUACGUAGGUGGCAAGCGUUGUACGGAAUUAUUGGGCGUAAAGAGCAUGGAGGCGGGAAUCUAAGUCUGUUGUGAAAAUGCGGGGCUCAACCCCGUAUUGCGAUGGAAACUGGGUUUCUUGAGUGCAGGAGAGGAAAGGGGAAUUCCCAGUGUAGCGGUGAAAUGCGUAGAUAUUGGGAGGAACACCAGUGGCGAAGGCGCCUUUCUGGACUGUGUCUGACGCUGAGAUGCGAAAGCCAGGGUAGCGAACGGGAUUAGAUACCCGUGUAGUCC
rnacentral:rRNA from 1 species